UACGUAGGGAGCAAGCGUUGUCCGGAAUCAUUGGGCGUAAAGAGCGUGUAGGCGGCCUGAUAAGUCGGCUGUGAAAGUCAAGGGCUCAACCCUUGAAUGCCGGCCGAUACUGUCAGGCUAGAGUCCGGAAGAGGCGAGUGGAAUUCCUGGUGUAGCGGUGAAAUGCGCAGAUAUCAGGAGGAACACCUAUGGCGAAGGCAGCUCGCUGGGACGGUACUGACGCUGAGACGCGAAAGCGUGGGGAGCGAACAGG
rnacentral:rRNA from 1 species